rnacentral:rRNA from 1 species
UUGGAGGGCAAGUCUGGUGCCAGCAGCCGCGGUAAUUCCAGCUCCAAUAGCGUAUAUUAAAGUUGUUGCAGUUAAAAAGCUCGUAGUUGAACUUCGGGAUCAAUGGAUCGGUCAUGCCAUCGGUAUGUACUGGUCUCAUUGGUUCUCACCUUCUAAGGAACCAUAAUGUCAUUCAUUUGAUGUUUUGGGGAAUUAGGACUGUUACCUUGAAAAAAUUAGAGUGUUUAAAGCAGGCUAACGCUUGAAUACAUUAGCAUGGAAUAAUGAAAUAGGACAUCGCAUUCUAUUUUGUUGGUUUCUAGGAUCGAUGUAAUGAUUAAUAGGGAUAGUUGGGGGCAUUAGUAUUCAAUUGUCAGAGGUGAAAUUCUUGGAUUUAUUGAAGACUAACUACUGCGAAAGCAUUUGCCAAGGAUGUUUUCAUUAAUCAAGAACGAAAGUUAGGGGAUCGAAGACGAUCAGAUACCGUCGUAGUCUUAACCAUAAACUAUGCCGACUAGGGAUCGGAUGAUGUUGAUUUUUUAAUGACUCAUUCGGCACCUUACGGGAAACCAAAGUGUUUGGGUUC